rnacentral:tRNA from 1 species
GCUCCCAUGGCGAAAUUGGUAGACGCGCCAGAUUUAGGUUCUGGUGUCUUAGGGCGUGUAAGUUCGAGUCUUACUGGGAGCA